rnacentral:rRNA from 1 species
AUUGAACGCUGGCGGCAGGCCUAACACAUGCAAGUCGAACGAGUGGCGCACGGGUGAGUAAUGUCUGGGAAUCUGCCUUAUGGAUGGGUAUCACUACUGGAAACUGUAGCUAAUACCACAUACCCUCAGAUAUGCACAGCUGGGUUUAGCUAGUGGGUUGGGUAACGGCUCACCAAGGCGACGAUCCCUAGCUGGUCUGAGAGGAUGACCAGCAACACUUGAACUGAGACACGGUCCAGACUCCUACGGGAGGCAUCAGUGGGGAAUAUUGCACAAUGGGCGCAAGCCUGAUGCAGCCAUGCCGCGUGUAUGAAGAAGGCCUUCGGGUUGUAAAGUACUUUCAGCGGGGAGGCGUUACCCGCAGAAGAAGCACCGGCUAACUCCGUGCCAGCAGCCGCGGUAAUUC